rnacentral:rRNA from 1 species
CCUACGGGAGGCUGCAGUGGGGAAUAUUGGACAAUGGGGGGAACCCUGAUCCAGCCAUGCCGCGUGUGUGAAGAAGGCCCUCGGGUUGUAAAGCACUUUCAGUGAGGAAGAACGCCUGGUGGUUAAUACCCAUCAGGAAAGACAUCACUCACAGAAGAAGCACCGGCUAACUCCGUGCCAGCAGCCGCGGUAAUACGGAGGGUGCGAGCGUUAAUCGGAAUUACUGGGCGUAAAGCGCGCGUAGGUGGCUUGAUAAGCCGGUUGUGAAAGCCCCGGGCUCAACCUGGGAACGGCAUCCGGAACUGUCAAGCUAGAGUGCAGGAGAGGAAGGUAGAACUCCCGGUGUAGCGGUGAAAUGCGUAGAGAUCGGGAGGAAUACCAGUGGCGAAGGCGGCCUUCUGGACUGACACUGACACUGAGGUGCGAAAGCGUGGGUAGCAAACAGGAUUAGAUACCCUUGUAGUC